CAGACACGCGGCGAUGCACGUGAUCGACAGUGCGCGUGUCGGCCUCUUCGUCAUGUGCUAUAUAAAUGAAGGCGGAGGUUGAGAGAACAUGUGGAAAUCAAACCAGUCUGAAACCUCUGAAAAACUCUUCGUGGGCUGAGAGAGAUACACUGGUAACACUCUGUAAACACUCUGUAACCAACCCAUCUCUAAAACACUCAGCAACCAUAACAUGGCCUCGUCUUCCCGUUCAGCUACCCAGAACAUGGCCUCAUCUUCCCGUGGUCUGCUUACGCUCUUUCCAGAACUGAACGAGUCCACAAGAGAAAUAACUGGUGCGGUGGCCAGUGAACCCCAACCAAACACUUCUGGGUUUGCUCCUUUGAACUUUCCGAUGCGGUCGGUGGAGCAAAAAAUGGCGGUGCAAACUGAUAUUGAGGCCAAUCAGUAUACUCUGAAGUCAUGUGUGGAAACCAUGACUGCGGUUACAAACUUA